rnacentral:misc_RNA from 1 species
CAAGGAUGGUCCAAAUUUCAGUUUAUCAUCCCUUUCCUAAUCCCCUUCGCUCAACUUAAUUCAACAAAGACUCUCCCAUAACAAAUUUCCAAUAACCACACCAAAUCCAAUAUUGUCAUUAAUCUUUCUACCCUUUUUGUUUGUCAGUAGAAUGGGUUGGGAGAGGAGGUGUGGAGGCUCCUUCUAGGUGGCGUGUCAAUAAUCUCAACAGGUCAUCAAAACAAACUCCACAAUCAACAUUGUCUUCUUUGUAAUAGUUUGUCUUAAUUUCAAAUGAUAUUAUUUUGCAUCUUCCAAUAGAGACCAUCUCAAACUCCCAUACAGCUUGCUUACAUCAUAAACAUGUAACUACAUUUCCCAACUAUCUAAUCCAUAAAACAUGUUACCCCUCAUAUUCACCUUAUAUAAAGAUCACCACACUCUCAACAUUGAGGAUGAGGGUAUGACAUGCAUAAAAUCCAAACAGUUCAUACACAUUUGAUAUUUCUGGCAACAAAAAAAUCAUCAUCAGG